CGCAUCUGUGCAUGCAGCAUAUCAAUAAGCGGAGGAAAAGAAACUAACAAGGAUUCCCCUAGUAACGGCGAGUGAAGCGGGAAGAGCUCAAAUUUGAAAUCUUAAAGGGUUUCCCUUUACGAAUUGUAGUUUAAAGAAGUGUUUUCUGUUGAGGUUUUGGUAAAAGUUCUUUGGAAUAGGACAUCAUAGAGGGUGAGAAUCCCGUAUUUCGACCUUUACUUUCAACUUUGUGAUACACUUUCAAAGAGUCGGAUUGUUUGGGAAUGCAGUCCAAAAUGGGUGGUAAAUUUCAUCUAAAGCUAAAUAUUGGCGAGAGACCGAUAGCGAACAAGUACCGUGAGGGAAAGAUGAAAAGAACUUUGAAAAGAGAGUUAAACAGUACGUGAAAGUUGUCAAAAGGGAAGCGUUUGACACCAGUGUUGUUUUUCUGAAAAUCUAAUUAAAGAACUGUUUAUGCUAAGCUUGUUUAGACUUUAUCAGCUAACUGUUUAGUUUUGAGCUUUUCUUUAAUGCACUUUUCAGUUAACAAGUCAACAUCAAUUUCUUUUGCUGUAAAAAAGCUUGAGGAAGGUGGCUUGAGAUUCGUCUUAAGUGUUUAUAGGCCUCUUGCCUAUGCAGUCGGAGAGAUUGAGGUCUGCAGCGUAGAUCCUUCGGGGCUAAAUGCAUUUGUGCUAAGUUAUAGCAUUUUAUAGACAACUUGUUGACUAUGAUUUGUCUUGUAGCUUACUCGCUUAUGUUAUUUUACCUACGCUUAGGAUGUUGAGUCGUAGAGCACGCAG
rnacentral:rRNA from 1 species